UACGAAGGGGGCUAGCGUUGCUCGGAAUCACUGGGCGUAAAGCGCACGUAGGCGGAUUGCUAAGUCAGGGUGAAAUCCUGGAGCUCAACUCCAGAACUGCCUUUGAUACUGGCGAUCUCGAGUCCGGGAGAGGUGAGUGGAACUGCGAGUGUAGAGGUGAAAUUCGUAGAUAUUCGCAAGAACACCAGUGGCGAAGGCGGCUCACUGGCCCGAUACUGACGCUGAGGUGCGAAAGCGUGGGAGCAAACAGG
rnacentral:rRNA from 1 species